rnacentral:rRNA from 1 species
AUGCGGGGUAUCAUCCUAUGUGAUGUGCUCCCACUCGACGACGACGCCAAGACGCUUCGCUACAUCCCUCUGCCGGACCCCAUCCGGCCAGACGACACCAUCGACGAAUCUGGAGGCAUGUACCGGGACGUCGCCGUCGUCGGCAGCCGCAUCAAGUAUGCUGAGGUGAAGAUGCACGUCAGGCCGGGCUCGGCCGGCCCGAAAGGCUCCUUCACCAUCGAUGGCUGGACCGCCGUCGUAUGGAGCAGGCCGGCCAAUUCCUUCAAGGAGUCGACCACCUGGCGCAAGGACCAUGAGGUCCAUGCUCACCAGGUCUCUUUCGUUGACGGCAAAAACAAGACGGCGCCAGGCUUUGAGUUGCUCCCGGCUGUGGUGGAUCACCAGGGCAACCCGCAGCCGACCUUGGUGGGGAUCCACGUUGGCCAUCCCAAGCUCAGCCUGAGCGUCGGUGACAACACCCUUUACUUGAUGGCCAAGGUCAACCGCUGGUACGACAAAGCAUGGGUGAUCGCUGUCGACAUGAAGAACAAGAGGCUGCGGGGAGUGGCCGAGUUUGGUGGAGCACCAAGGUGCUCGGCGUUUCUCCAUGCCUAUAGGCAAAGCAGGAUCUCGGAGCAUCUCAAUGUCUCCCAAGGUACAAAGAGUCACCUGAAACGACCAGGGAUGCCACUGCCACAUGGAAGCUCUCACAAGAAGCCAGAGAUCCCUCCACAUCAUGUGAUGCAUCACUGUCCCAGUGGACAAAACCCCAGGGCGACAUGGCCCACAUUUCCCGCACAGACUACUGAUGAUGAGGAUUAUGAUGAUGAUGAACGGACAAGGAUGGCAGACGACAUGGACUUGGAAUAA